UUCACACUCGGGUAUCUGUCUCACGCUUUUACUUCCGUACUGGUUCCGCUGGAAUUCAGAUCCUUGCGGUAAACCACUGAGAAACCGGUCCUGGAAUGCUGCACCUGACUUUCUGUUUGGAUGUACUAUCUGUCCGGUCAAUCUCCCUGUGCCCUUACACACACACACACACACACACACACACACACACACACAGUGUUUAUCUGUACUCUCUUUUAGCAUCAUUGUUGCUCCGAGAAGAGAACCACUGAUUACUUCAAGCACACUACGGAGUACAGGAAAACCAGUGUAAACAACCUAUCUCCAUAUCCACCGUAUCCCAGCCCCGGUCUGACCUGCAGCCACCCAACCCUGUGCAGCAAGUCAUAACAGAUGUCGUUACAGCUUUCCCUCCGACCGCUACAGAGCACUGACACUGGAGACUCCUUCCGUAAACGUGAUAUAACCAUGUCCUCGCAGAACACGUCGCCACGUCGGCGGCUGCACGCGUUUUUUAACCCGUUCGUGUCUAGCGUGCGCCGUGCACCUGGCUGUCACUGUGGAAACGACGAGGUAUUAGAACGAUUCGUGUAAACAGAGCUGCAGUCCGGACGGAUCGGAAUUCAGCGGCGCUGUUGGAUCGAUGCACGUUACGGUGGAGAUGAGGUGAACUGAGUAACGGUGACGUCGUUUUGUUUUUUCACACUUCUCUACAG
ensembl:lncRNA